ACCUUUUUCAGAAGCCUACUACAACCUACACAUCUCUGCAUAUUUCUGCCUCAUUAUUGAGCUCUAUGCAUGGUGAAGAUAGUGCUGGAAACAAACAGAACCCCUUCAACGCCCCAGAGGACAAAGACCUGCGUAUGGAGAAGUACUUCAUGGACAGGCAACUCAUAAAAAAGUCACCAGUGGAGCAGGUGGACUUGGGCAUGCCACACAGCCCCACCCUGCAGCUGGGCAGAAAGUGCAGUGUCUCAGGUGACAGCACCCACACGAAGACCACUGUGGAAGAUCUGCAAGAGGGUCUUCUGCUAAAACACAAGUGGAGAUGGGCUUCCAAAGGUAUUUCUCCAUUAGAUGACUGGCCUGAGAGGGAAAGGACACACAUUUCCUCUGACCACUUAGAAGAUCCACAUUAUAAUGAGCUGACCAACCUGAAGCUGUGCAUUGAGUCAACAGGCCUCUGUCCUAACACACAACGCCACAUGCUGCACCUUAGAGAAAGCCGGGACCAGCAGGUGUCAGCAGAAGAGAGCAAACCUGGCCAGCAGGGAAGGAAGGAAGUGACCUAGGCAGUUCAGCCUGAGGUAACUGCACAGAGCAGUAACGUCGCCAAAGAGAAACGAGACAAAAAGGGCCGUGGCCAAAGGUAACAGAAGCUGGUCGGAAGAGUCCCUCAAGUCCAGUGACAAUGAACAAGGGCUACAAAAUGCCACCCUAUGACUGCCCACCCUACUCUUGGAAGGGUGAGAAAGGGCGCUUGAGGGGACAUAGCAGGCAAGGAGCUUUUCUCUUGAUGUCCUUCUAGCCUCCAUACUUCCUUCUGGUCUGUACAAUGAGGAGUGCAGGUGAGAAGAGGGUGCUGAACUUCCUGAGCUGCUCCUCACCCAAUCUGUGGCUGGCAGUAACGGCAGUGUGGGUGACUGUGAAGUCUGGCCAGUGUUCUCACUUCAGUUCAGGCUGUGUCUGGUCACUAGAUCCUGAGCACCCACCUGGACUUCCUUGGAAAGGUCCUGAGCACCCAGGUGCAGUGGGUGAGGACAGGAGAGCAGGAAGGGCUGCCUUCUUGUCCCCGUCCCUUGAAAAAACUUUGUGGGUUAACUUUGUGUUUGCCAUUUGAAUGUGGGAUAAUUUAAAUAUUAUUCUUUGAAGCCUAAUUGUUAUAUAUUAGAAAACUAAAGCUGCUCCAGUGAUCAGUGGUAACAGUGGGCUUUUGUUUCUGCAUCAGCUACAGCUGCGUAAUGCCUGCUUUUUCUCCCCUUUUCUCACACCCCAAAUCCUUUAAGGCUUCCCUAUAUUCUCCAGAUCACUGCCCGUAAAGAACCCUUCAUCCACCCCUGCAAGCAGCAAAGAGCAGGCUCAGACAAGCUGCACACCAGCCUUGAGCUUCCAUACCAAACAUCAGAAAAUUAAACAAAGCCAGAAGACAGAUGUGCUCUGCACAAACGAAGAACAGAAUUGCCAAGUUGCCUCCAUGCUGCAGAAAUAAACUGACAAGAACGAGAAACCAUGUGUGAAGAGACUGUAAAACCAAGCAUUUGACCCCUCAGGAACCCAGACUGGGCUUGCUGCUGAGAGGGGAGGAUGCUGAUGGCAAGAUACCUUUUAGACACUCCACUUCUGAGUCAGGCAUGUGCAAGUACUUCAUGCAUCCCUGCUUGCCGACCUGUUGCCUACUUCUCAAGAGGAAACCUUCCCUUUUCCUGAACUGCUGUCACAAAGCCACUCUAGUGCCCUACGGUGGAUCAUGUGUCCUGGUGGUGGUGAAGCUUCAAAGCAGCCUCUCCAUAAUGCAAUGGAUGAUGAUCAUUUGGAAAUUCUUCACUUGCUCCUCUCCUACAGUGCUGACCCCACUUUGCCUACCUACUCAGGUAGAACUGUUAUGGAAAUGGCUAACAGCAAAUCUGUGGAAAUGUUCCUGGCAGGUAGGUAAUUUCAAGAAACAAGAAUGACAGUAAUUAUUUUGGUGAUUAGCCAUUGGUUCUAUAUUUACUUUCACCUAUUUUUCCUAAAGUUUAAGAUUUCUUAAAAUUACUUGCCAUUUCUAUAAAUGCAUUUUAACUUAGGUAUGCUUCAUAGUUUUACAUUUUGAGUCUAUGUGAAAUGGAAAUCUCAAACCUCCCCUUCAUGAAGUUAGUUGCAUGGUUCUCUAGUCAGCAGAUAAGCUGCUGUUUAAACCCAGGUCUUUAGAGGAUCCCUAAAGUAGAAGAAGCACAAGGUUUCCAUAAAUCGUUAAAUUCUUUAUUAUAUAGUUAAUGCCAAAGAAUGCCACUGACUCACAUGGUAAUAAACAGUUGUUUAUAUUAACUUACACUUACUUACUGAAAAAAAAUCUUAGUCAGAGGUAAAUGUAACAUUUCUUUAUUUUUGUGUAUGAUAGCUAAAAUAUUCUUAGCUUUCCAGUCUUGCUUCUGUUGGUCAGCUGGGAUGUUAGAAGUGAUCUGUUCCUAGGCAAGGUGAGUGAUUAGGUAUUUUGGCUCAUAUCAGAGAACAGGUUGUUGGAGAAUUGCAUCCUUGUGCAGCAAGGGACUUUAUGUAAGAAGUAACAUGCCAGCCUAUUCUGAAUUUAUUUUAAAAAUGCCAUUUAAGUCUGUUAACAUUUGUUCUAUGAGCAGGUUUUAUAUGGUUAUUUUUUAAAUUUAUAUAAUUUUUCUUAAAUCUUUUAAAAUAUUUUUUUGC